rnacentral:misc_RNA from 1 species
UCUCCGUUGGUGAACCAGCGGAGGGAUCAUUAUCGAGUUUAUAACUCCCAAACCCUAUGUGAUCUUACCACUUGUUGCUUCGGCGCGCGCUUCGGCGCCGCCGAGGACACUUAAACUCUUUGUUUUUAUAAGCAUUUCUGAGUGGCCGAAAGGCAAAAUACAAAUGAAUCAAAACUUUCAACAACGGAUCUCUUGGUUCUG